CCAAUUUGCGUCGGCGUGCAAUUGCCGUCGCCAAAGCCUACUCUUUUGCGACGGCAAAACUUGACCGUCGCAAUUGUGUAAAAGUUAUGCAACGGUAUUAAUUUCCGUCGCCACUUGUGGUCGCCAACCCCUACGAUUUACUUCGGCAAGAAUUUGCCGUCGCAAGGUAAAACAAUUGGCGACUGCAAAAAACUUGCCGUCGCGUUAUCCUAAUUAACUCUGCUUCACCCUCUUUCGUCUUUCAGUUCUUUGAGCCCAUAACUCCAUCUCGAUCUGAUACCCCGAUGAUUACCCAGAUAUCCUCCUCGUCUCCUCCUCUUUCCAUCACCUCCUUGAGCUAUUUUCCUCUCUCGAUCUACCAAAUUCUGCAGAAUACAACCGACGACUAAAUGAACCGAUUUAGGUCAACUCCAUCGAGUUUAUCAGGAGAUCUACCAACCAGUCGUUCCUCUCAAUGUCAAAAGCCUAAUCUAAUACAUUUCACCUCACCCACCUGCAGCCCCAAUCGGCUGCAACGUUCCCGAGUUCACCUAUCUCUUCAAGAGGAAGGUUGAAAAAGGGAUUGAAAUCGAUAAGCUUCCAAAGUUUGAAGCUUUCAUUUUGGUUAGAUUUUAGAGCGAGCUCACGACUCGAUCUUCAAUCAUCCUUUCAUUUGUUGGACCUCCAUGGAUAGCUUCACUCUGUUCUUAUUCUUUUGACCCAGCCAAAUUGCAGCGUUAUUGAUAGAGCAUUCACAAUCUGCAUAAAUAGUUGGAAGAUUUAGCUAUUUCUCAUUUCUUUUGUGUGCUGGAUUUGAAUAGGUUGCACUAUCUUGGGCUUAACAGAGAGUGGCGGUAGUGUGGUUUUUUUGCUGUUGGUUUUCUUGGGUGAACAAACUAUUCUGCAUUUCAAUAUUAGAGAAAAGUUAGAAGCAGAAGAGAGAAUAUAUAAAAGCCAACAGGAUCAUGUACAUAUACCCUUGACCAUGUGCAGGUGGCAGCACUAUCUUGGAUUUUAUGCAAAAGAGUCUACAUAUCAUUUGGCUGCCACUGUUCCUUGGUCUACUGUUUAACGUUGUCUGCAUCUUUCAUUCUUAUUCAGCUUCUGGGCACAGUUUCUACUGCCUAUGCUUUCUGUUUUCAAAAAAGGCUCAGGGAGAUUUUCCUUAAGCAGGAUAAUCUUAUCUAAGGUCGUUUCCUUGCUGAGCUGACAAAGCAAGUGUUUUCUGAUCUUUCUGCCAGUAAAUAUCAGAUGGCUGAGCACAGAAUAUCAAAAUAUGGCAGGAAGCAAAGUGAGUGGGACCAAAUGGCUAGUUGGAUAGUGAACAAUGAAUUGUACAGUGAGAAUGUUGUAUGGUUGAUACAGCUGCCACGGCUGUACAAUAUAUACCAGGAAAUGGGGAUAGUCACAUCAUUUCAGAACAUUCUUGACAAUAUCUUUAUACCGCUGUUUGAGGUUAACAUAAAUCCAGAUUCCCACCCGCUGUUGCAGGUUUUUCUGAAACAGGUUAGCCAUCUCUUCGUUAAAUUUUUUUUUAUUGAACUUGUAGCUUAGUUAGGCUAAUAUACACGCUCAGUAUUGAACUUGAUUACUGGAAGCUACAAUUUUGUUUUAUUGUUUGCUUCUGACACUACUAGAAAUUUGUUCAUAGACAUCGCAUGUUUUAAAUCGGUCAGACUUGCACACGAUGUAAAAAAGUAAUCUAACAUCGUUUUACGAAAAUACCGAUUUAAAUGUAUAUCAUUAACAUCGGGUCUUAAAAUGACCGGUGUUAAAAGUUUUGUUUGAAAAUUUGCGGGAACCUACUUUUGCAAAACGCGCUAAGUCUUUUAAGUGAAAUGAAGAAGCGGGUACUAAAACUCAAAACUUUCACACUUAAAAAAAAUUUUGCACCCGACCCCAAAACUGAAACAGAUCGAAACCCUUGAGCUCGGUCUCGAGCUCCUCCCAAACUUGAGCUCCUCCUCCUCCUCCUCACCAUCACAAUCCUUCCUCCUCCAUUUUUGGCGGAAUCUAAAGAGCUGAGAGAGUCGAAGAAACCUAGAUCCCAACAAUGUCGAAGAAACCCGAGCUCCUUCUCGACCUUUCUUCGCCUCUGACUGAGAUCAAUUAGCUUAAUUCUCAUCUCAUCUCAGCUUCUCUCUCCAGAUCAGUGUAUGAAUUUCUAAACCCAGCCCCCUUUUUCUUUUUCGCUCUUCGAUGUUUUCUGCUAGUUGCUUUUAUUCUAUGGAUUUGUGCGCUAGAGCCCGGCCUCACAUAUAAAGAGAAUGAGUUAUGGGUGAGUCUCAAUUUCCUGCUCUUCUUCCACCAUGACCGAUAAAGUUGAAUCGUCUGACCCGUAAUCCCUCAGAUCCAAUUCCUCUUCUUUUCGAUUUUGACCUAACUUUUUUGGUUUUCUGCAAUCUUUAGGGGCGACACAAUCGUCAUCAAGGUGUGAUUUUGAUGUGGGUUUUGUUGGUUUAUUCAGAAUAUUGUUGAAGAAAAUUGAUGGAAUUUUGCUUAAUUAGGUUUCGGGUAGUGAGUGAAGGAUGGAUUUGUAGUUGGGUUGAUGGGUUUUGUGUGUUUUGUUUGAGAUCUGGUGACUGGGUGUGUUUUGGUGUCCGAAAGUUGAGGUUUUGAUGUAAAGUUUUAUGCUUUUCUGCUGGCUCUGAACCCUUAUACUCUUUUUUAGUUCUCUUAAUCACCUUGUUUAAGUUGCACUCGUGUGGUUCCUAAUUCUGACAUUACAAUGUUGUUUUGAAUUGGUUCGACCCCGAAACCGAUUGUGGUUUCUCCAACGACCGAGCUUCUUCGAGGACGACCGAACUCAGAAUCGAGGAUGGGGCACAACUGAAGCGCUAUUUGAUCCCCAAAUCUAGAGUGAAAUCUGAGAGAAGCAAAACGAAAAGCGAAAUCAAAACCAGAGCAAGGUGAUGAUUCAAAACAGAGUUUUUACUUUGGUCCUUUUGAAGACGUAACUCAAAAUAAGUUGAAUCAAUGGCCUCCAGAAGUUCCGCCAGGAAAAGAAUAUUAGUAUCUCUGAUUGCCCUGGCUUUGAACCUGGAUGAGAAUUUUUUUGAGAAAGUUGGGGAUCUGAAUGGCCACUUUUGCAAUUCUUCACCUUUUGCACCAUCCAGAAUUGGUGAAUUCCGGUGCUGGAUAGUUGGGGAUUUAAUGAGCAUUUCUAUUGGUGAUGCGGAAUUGAUGGCAAGCCCAGUCAUGUUCUAUGCAGAUUUUCCAGAAAGCAAUAUCAACUUCAAAUGCUUACAAUGAUCAAUUCAGGACCAUAAGCCACAAGAGAGUUAAGCUUGCCAACCUUGGUCGCCGUGGAUUAAAGAAAAAAAUCAAGGAAGACAAUUAAGGACCCCCUUAAGUCUUUCAGUGCUCAGCUUAUUUCCUGGAGGCCUACACCCUAGUGAGGAAGGGUGAUCUCUUGAUUGUGAGAGGAGGAAUGAGGAGUGUCGAGUUCAAGGUUAUUGAGACUGAUCCUUCUUGAGUAUUGUGUUGUUGCUCCAAACACUGAAAUAUUUCCAAUAGGGUUUACUAAGGUGGCUACAGAUAAGAAUUCUAAAGCUGGAUCAAAUGUCUAGGCUAGCCUUUGUAGGUUUUGAGGUUUUAUUUUGUGAAUUAUGUUGAAUCAUGAAUUUGAAAAGAAAUUAAUGGAAGCCUCAAUUUUUGGAUGA